rnacentral:misc_RNA from 1 species
GAAUAAUCCCACUCAAUAUUUUCCAUAGGUAAUUUGUACGUUCCUUGUAUAAAAAUAAAGAGCUCACCAUCUCUAUUCAGUGUUUAAACCACCCCAAUGAAGCAAUGCUCUCUCUAAAACCCAGAGGAAAAAAAUCCUGAGAGUAAAUUUCACUCUCAAACUUGAGCUCUAAUUUUUACCUAAGCAAACACUCUUGCUCUUGCUCUCCCUAACUCUUUAGCUU